UACCAGCACCCCGAGUGGUCGGGACGUUUUAUUGGGCCUAAAGCAUCCGUAGCCGGUUCUACAAGUCUUCCGUUAAAUCCACCUGCUUAACAGAUGGGCUGCGGAAGAUACUAUAGAGCUAGGAGGCGGGAGAGGCAAGCGGUACUCGAUGGGUAGGGGUAAAAUCCGUUGAUCCAUUGAAGACCACCAGUGGCGAAGGCGGCUUGCCAGAACGCGCUCGACGGUGAGGGAUGAAAGCUGGGGGGAGCAA
rnacentral:rRNA from 1 species